CUUCUUUUGCUUGGCUGUCUGGUCCUCUCUUUUCCACCCCAGGCAAAUCCUCCUGUAAGUCCCGGCCCUAGGACACCUCCAGCUGGAAGCCCUCUCACAUGUGCCAUGGUUGAGCUUCAUUGGAAAAAAGACAAAGCAAUUUCUUCAGGCUGAACGGAAGCUAUACCAGAGGGAAACUUGAACUGCCUGGAAGGAUUAAAGAACAUUAGCAAUGGAGGUCUUAGUAAAGAACAUGGACCUAACAAGCCAUCAACAGCUGAAAGAACUUGGGAAAGGUCAAAAGGAGACACCACAUGUCCUACCACCUCCCAGAAUCCUUCUCGCUGGCAUCCAUCUUGGCUGAGCAGUGUGUGAGCCACCAGGAAGAACCCUGAGUCAGAAUAACUGGCCAAAGACAACCCGGAAGGUAAUCCCAUCACCACGAAACCCAAGACUGUGAGCCACGUGGCAGAGCAGCUCUCCUGGGUUCCCUUACCCUCUAGCUCUCUGCCCAGGUGUCCCUUCCCAAUAAAGUCUUGUGCUUUA